UUUUUUUUUUUUUUUUUUUUUUUUUUGCUUUGUUUUAAAUCAAGCAGUCUUAGCUUAAAGUCCCUUUUGUAUUUUCACAGAAUCGAAGAAUCAUGAGGGUUGGAAGGGACCUCUGGAGAUCACCUAAUUCAACCCCGCUGCUAAAGCAGGUCUGAAAAGGUUUAUUUCCACAAUGGUCUCCUAGGAAUCAAGAAAUACUCCCCUGAUGACAACUGCUGACUUCCUUCGUUUUUCUUUUUGCCCUGUCUUGCUUUGUUUAACAAUAGCUUUUCAAAGCUAAAUGUGCACUUACAUAUACACUUUACUGUGAUGGAAACCUAGCUUAUCGAAGAACCUACAUUAUCCUCUGCUGUUAAUAUACCAAUAAAAUUCUGUUUCUCACACCAAAGUGGAUUCUGUUGCAUUUAAUACAAACUUUGGAAUUCAUAUCACAUAGCAGCCAUAACUAACCAUUAAUUUCUUUUCUUUCUGUUGCCAAGGACUUUGUAUUACUAAACCAAAUCAAAUAAUACCUAAGACAGACUUUCCCAAAUCCCGU
rnacentral:lncRNA from 1 species